UACGUAGGGUGCAAGCGUUGUCCGGAAUUAUUGGGCGUAAAGAGCUCGUAGGCGGCCUGUCGCGUCGGCUGUGAAAUCCCGAGGCUCAACCUCGGGUCUGCAGUCGAUACGGGCAAACUUGAGUGUUGCAGGGGAGACUGGAAUUCCUGGUGUAGCGGUGAAAUGCGCAGAUAUCAGGAGGAACACCGGUGGCGAAGGCGGGUCUCUGGGCAACAACUGACGCUGAGGAGCGAAAGCGUGGGGAGCGAACAGG
rnacentral:rRNA from 1 species